AUGUUUGACAUCAGACAGCUGGUUCACCACCAGGCAGUUAGAUUCUUAUUUUAUCCGUUAGGGUGCAGUGUUUCUCCACAGAUCUGUUGAUAUGUCAUCUUUUCUUUUCUGUCCACUUUAACAACAAGAUUUAGUGGAUGUGAUGAGCAGCUCAGUGCGUCUCUAAGAGGAGGGACUUGGAUGUUUUCUUCACACCUCCACCUCCUUCAAAACUUGGUUCUCUUAUUGGAGGACUUACAUACAUAAUAUUAGGAGGGAAUCAUCAGCAUACAUGCAUGGAUAGUGAUGAAAACAGCAGCAGAAACAAGACUGAGUUUAAAAUUCAGUCAGAAAGCACAACAUGUUGAUCGCCGUCUGCUGCAUCACCUUGAAUGUUAUACUGGUUUCAGGUUCCUCUCUAAGUGACCAGAUCAGACAGAUUCCAGACCAGAUGUUCUACAAUCCACUAGAAACAGCCAAAAUAACCUGUUCCCACAGUAUUCAAAGCUACGAUCAAAUCCUUUGGUACAAGACGUCAACAAACAGACAGCUACAGUUACUGGGAUACAUGUUUGGAGACAGUGUGUUUCCUGAGAAAACUGGAGUGGAAGAGACUGUGAAGAUAGAAGGGAAUGCAAACAAAGACAAGAACUGCACAUUAACAAUUGAAGGACUCAAACUGAGCAGCAGUGCAGUUUACUUCUGUGCUGCUAGUUAACACAGUGCUACAUAUCACUGAUCCUCUGUACAAAAACCUCCCAGUCACAUGACACCACCCACCUCAAGCUUCCAUGUUGGUUUGCUGAUAGGAGGGUCUACUCACAGAGGAGGCUGGAAAUGAUCAGCAUAACUACUGACAGACUGACAAUACCUUUCAUAUCAAUACAGUUAUUACCAAACGCAAAAGACAACAUGAUCCUCAUAUUCCUAAGCAUUCAUUUGAACACUAUUCUGGUUUCAGGUUUGUCUUUAAGUGACCAAGUCCACCAGAGUCCAGCUGAUAUGUUCAAACAACCAGGAGAAGAAGCCAAAAUCAACUGUUUACACACCUCUUCUUCUUUUGAUCGAAUCCUCUGGUACAAGCAGACAAACAGACAACUGCAGUUCCUGGGAUACAUGGUUGGAGACAGUGGAUCUCCUGAAAAAACUGGAGUGGAAGAG